rnacentral:tRNA from 1 species
UAGCUCAGUUAGUAAGAGCAGCGGUCUUAUAAGCCGAAGAUGGUUGGUGCGGGUUCAAGUCCCGUU